ACGAACGCUGGCGGCGUGCUUAACACAUGCAAGUCGAACGGAAAGGCCCCUUUGGGGGUACUUGAGUGGCGAACGGGUGAGUAACACGUGAGUAACCUGCCCUUGACUUCGGGAUAACUUCAGGAAACUGGGGCUAAUACCGGAUAGGAAUCCUUGCUGCAUGGUGGGGGUUGGAAAGCUUCGGCGGUUUUGGAUGGACCCGCGGCUUAUCAGCUUGUUGGUGGGGUAGUGGCUUACCAAGGCUUUGACGGGUAGCCGGCCUGAGAGGGCGACCGGCCACAUUGGGACUGAGAUACGGCCCAGACUCCUACGGGAGGCAGCAGUGGGGAAUAUUGCACAAUGGGCGGAAGCCUGAUGCAGCAACGCCGCGUGCGGGAUGACGGCCUUCGGGUUGUAAACCGCUUUCAGCAGGGGCGAAGCUUGUGGUGACGGUACCUGCAGAAGAAGCACCGGCUAACUACGUG
rnacentral:rRNA from 1 species